ACCGAGUUUACAACUCCCAACCCCUGUGAACAUACCACUUGUUGGCCUCGGCGGAUCAGCCCGCUCCCGGUAAAACGGACGGCCCGCCAGAGGACCCCUAAACUCUGUUUCUAUAUGUAACUUCUGAGUAAAAACCAUAAAUAAAUCA
rnacentral:misc_RNA from 1 species